rnacentral:lncRNA from 1 species
GAGUGACUUUGCCCACCACAGUCGGCUGCCCAGCCCAUGGGCACUGCGCUCCAAAGGUAGAGAUGCGGCGUGGAGGGGGCGGCAUUGGGAGAGAGAGACAAGGGGUCCGAGGGCCCCGCCCGGGGCCUGCCCAGCCUGCCCUGAUUAAAAAAAACAACAAACUGAGCAAAUUAGGUGCAGAAGGAAUGUACCUCAACAUAAAAGUGUACAAAUUUCAGUUAUGCAAAAAAAAAGAAAACUGGACACUUGAAUAUAAUAAUGCAGUAACUCUGGAGAUGAGACUCUCCUCUUCCUCAGGGUUUGCUGUUUUGGAUUAUAUUUCAUAUAUAAUUAUAUAUAUUAUAUUAUAUAUAAUAUCUGUAUAAUAAUAUAUAUUAUUACAUAUAAUUAUAUUAUAUUACAUUAUAUUAUAUAUAUCAUAAUAUAUUAUAUAAUAUAUAUAAUAUUGUAUUAUUUAAUAAUAUAUAAUAUAUUACCCAGCACAACUCUCAGUGCCAUGUUUCUUAAUUUAACAAAUCAGACCACAUACUUUACUUACAUUAGUUCACACCUCAUCAUCAUCAUGCCCAUAUGUUGUGAGCUUGUUUAUUGAGCCCACAUGCCAGAUGGAGAAACUAAGCCACAUAAAUAAAUGUGCCCUGGUUCACUUGCUGCAUAGUGAAGAGUCAAAAUGUUUACUCAAACGGUGCUAAUGUUGAAGGCCUGAACUACAACCUCUAUUUAUCAGCCAGUGAAGAGAUCACUAUUCACCAUGCAAGGGAGUUCCAGCACCCUCUAUGCCUGGAAUUACCCACGCCUGCAGAGAUCCCAAACGCCAUCCCUCACAUAAGACAGCCUCAUGAUCUCAUAAUCCAGGUAGCUAUGUAGACAUCUUCCUGCAGGUGUCACAUAGUCCUUAGUGUGAAACCAACAUAGAAAGCCCAUGUUUCUGAUCAAAUCACAGGUUCUGAAACACUAAGGGAGGCACUAAGUAGGACAACGUGGUGCCUGCGUGUCAUAGCUGGGUCUCCUCAAGACAUGGAUCAAGUCCAGUAAGAAUUGGGGAGAUGCUUUAGAGUCUUGAUGGAGUUAUCACCACAAGCCCUCUGAGCUACACACUUUAGGGAUCAUGACCAUUAAGUACUCAAAUUACCAUUUGGUUGUUAUCCGGGUAUCCGUCGUCCUUGUGGCAACCCUCUUGUGAAGCUGGUGUGGACAGCCUCAGUGCUGGAGCUGUGCCUGCCUUCUGAGUGGACCCUUUCUGUGUUAGCAGGUGGGUACAAGCGUGGGGGUCAGCACACUCAGUGGAUUUACACACACAGCGUUGAAGAGUAAGGCUGGGCUUCGUUAUUUAUACAUUUUCAAUAAAUGAUGAUCUUCAUAACAUAAAAUCAAUGAUGUAGUACACUAGAAUACUGUCCCUAGUAUUGAAUCUUGUCUCUCAGCAAAGGGUGUACAAUUAAAUGAAAUGGCUAGUAUAGUCUUGAAACCAAAUCCAGAUAAGGUAAAUUAAAUUCUGUGAUAUUUUAAAAUACUUUAAAUUCUGACUAAUGUGAGUUAAUCUCAACAUAUGAAAUAGUAGAUUAACAUUGAAAAUGCAAUAAAUAAAAUUAGCUACCUCAAGAGUUUAAUGGAAAAAAAUGUGAUUAUUGCAAUAGAUUCAGGAAAUUCAUGAAUAACAUUCACCCUAUAUUUGUAGGACAACUAUCUGAUUAACUUUAAGUGACCUGUGACAACCACUUGAAUUAAUGCUGCUUUCACAGCAUAUCUCUUGGCUUGUUAAAAACCCGACAAGAAUUUCCGUAACAUUAUUUUUAACACCUAUAUUGGGUGUGAACCCACCAUAAAGUUUGCCCACUGAAAAGGUCUAGAAUUUGAUG